UGAGGAAAACCCUGUAAUGUUGGCAU
rnacentral:piRNA from 1 species